rnacentral:rRNA from 1 species
CCUACGGGGGGCAGCAGUGAGGAAUAUUGGUCAAUGGACGAGAGUCUGAACCAGCCAAGUAGCGUGAAGGAUGACUGCCCUAUGGGUUGUAAACUUCUUUUAUAUGGGAAUAAAACGUUCCACGUGUGGGAUUUUGUAUGUACCAUAUGAAUAAGGAUCGGCUAACUCCGUGCCAGCAGCCGCGGUAAUACGGAGGAUCCGAGCGUUAUCCGGAUUUAUUGGGUUUACAGGGAGCGUAGGUGGAUUGUUAAGUCAGUUGUGAAAGUUUGCGGCUCAACCGUAAAAUUGCAGUUGAAACUGGCAGUCUUGAGUACAGUAGAGGUGGGCGGAAUUCGUGGUGUAGCGGUGAAAUGCUUAGAUAUCACGAAGAACUCCGAUUGCGAAGGCAGUUCACUGGACUGCAACUGACACUGAGGCUCGAAAGUGUGGGUAUCAAACAGGAUUAGAUACCCUUGUAGUC